AGAGUUUGAUCAUGGCUCAGAACGAACGCUGGCGGCGUGCUUAACACAUGCAAGUCGAACGCGAAAAGGGGCAACCCUCGGUAGCGUGGCAGACGGGUGAGUAACACGUGGGUAACCUACCCGGAGGUGGGGGAUAACCCUUCGAAAGGAGGGCUAAUACCGCAUAACAUCGCGAGGACCUCGGUCCUUGCAAUCAAAGCUGGCCUCUGUUUACAAGCUAGCGCCACCGGAUGGGCCCGCGCCCCAUUAGCUAGUUGGUGAGGUAACGGCUCACCAAGGCAACGAUGGGUAGCCGGCCUGAGAGGGCGACCGGCCACACUGGAACUGCGACACGGUCCAGACUCCUACGGGAGGCAGCAGUGAGGAAUCUUGCGCAAUGGGCGAAAGCCUGACGCAGCGACGCCGCGUGAAGGAUGAAGGUCUUCGGAUUGUAAACUUCUGUCGAGCGGGACGAAUGCCAUGAGGGUGAACAAUCCUCGUGGUUGACGGUACCGCUGAG
rnacentral:rRNA from 1 species